rnacentral:rRNA from 1 species
AGCAUAUCAAUAAGCGGAGGAAAAGAAACUAACCAGGAUUCCCCUAGUAACGGCGAGUGAAGCGGGAAUAGCUCAAAUUUUAAAUCUGGCUGGCGUGGUCAGUCCGAGUUGUAAUUUGAAGAAGCGUAUAUCACGUUUUCGUUCGGGUUCAAGUUCCUUGGAAUAGGACAUCAGAGAGGGUGAGAAUCCCGUCUGUGAUCCGAUCGGUUGCGGUACGAUAUCGUUUCUAAGAGUCGAGUUGUUUGGGAUUGCAGCUCAAAAUGGGUGGUAAAUUCCAUCUAAGGCUAAAUAUUGGCGAGAGACCGAUAGCGAACAAGUACCGUGAGGGAAAGAUGGAAAGAACUUUGAAAAGAGAGUUAAACAGUACGUGAAAUUGUUGAUAGGGAAACGAUUGAAGUCAGUCAUGCCGGUGAGAAAUCAGCUCACAGGCUAACUGUGGGUGCACUUUUUCGCAAGGCAGGUUAACAUCGGUUUCUGUUGCGUCAUAAUAAUUGUAGGAAGGUGACUCCUUCGGGAGUGUUAUAGCCUACUUUAGAUGGCGCGACGGGGACUGAGGAUUGCAGCGGAUGCCUUUUUGGCUACGGGUCUUGUCUCUGUCGAUCUUCAAUUAGCUUUCAGCUUGCUGAGAUCUGGUUGAUAAAUUUACAAUAGGUUUGAUUCCGUUAAAUUUGCUAAGGAUGUUGACGUAAUGGCUUUAAACGACCCGUC